rnacentral:rRNA from 1 species
UACGGAGGGGGCUAGCGUUGUUCGGAAUUACUGGGCGUAAAGCGCGUGUAGGCGGCUCGGUAAGUCUGCUCUGAAAGCCCGGGGCUCAACCCUGGGAGGCGGGUGGAUACUGCUGAGCUCGAGUCCGGAAGAGGCGAGUGGAAUUCCUGGUGUAGCGGUGAAAUGCGCAGAUAUCAGGAGGAACACCAAUGGCGAAGGCAGCUCGCUGGGACGGUACUGACGCUGAGACGCGAAAGCGUGGGGAGCAAACAGG